AGGAGGAGAGAGCAGGAGAAAAGAAAGGUGAGGUGACGAGGUACAGCGACGAGAUGCCUGGAGAAAUGAAAACCAAACAAAACCAGGAAAAUAACAAACCCCCAAAACAAACCCCCCUUUACAAAGCUGAAUGCUUUUUUUUUUUUGUGGAGAAGCAAAAAGUCCUCCCCAAAAACCACCAGUCAGGGAGGCUGUGGAGAGGAUGGCAGGGGAGAGGGCCUUUGAGGCCACGUGGGCUGGGAGGGAGGCAGCCAGGGGCUCUGAGACAAGCACAAACACUGAGAGCCCCUCUGCCUCUCCAGCCCAGACACCAUCACAAUGAACAACAGCGAGGGCAGAAUGGAGAAGCAAAAUGGGCAUGUUUCCAGGGAGUGGGGAAGCGGAAGGGGUGCUGCUGGCAGCGUGGUGCAGGCCCCUGAGGGCCAGGGCAGUGGAGAGCAGACACGGACAGACAGCAUGGGGCAGGCGUGCAGCUCAGGAGUGGGUCUGAGCCCCACCAGUGGGCCCUGGGCAGGGGGCCAUGCUGGGCACGAAGCUUCCUUUUGAGAGCCCGAGGUGGUGGCAGCCAGGGCCUUGGUGCAAACCCUGCCUGCUGCCCAGGGUAGGGUGCAAUUGAGCCGAAGUCAAAGGGGCUUCUCAGUACUGCCAGACCCUUCCUCCUGACCACCCACCUAGGCAGCUACAGGCUGCACUCACAUGGUACUGAAGAAUGCAGGCACCUCCAUGCCUCCCAGAGCCCAAGGGUGCAUGGAGGGCAUGCCUCGCUGAGGCUGGGGCAGGUUGUGCUUCUCUAACAGAUGAACCAGAGAACCCACGCCCUACAUGUGCCUAUGCACUGACACACGGGGGCUGUGUGUGGGUGAGAUUUCAACUGCCCCUGCUCGUCUGUUUGCUGCUCUAAGCAGGUCCUCCUUCAGAGCUCAGACCUCAGAGAGAAAGGCCGAGUCCAGGCCCUCACGCUAUUACCAGCAUCUCUGACAGACCCCCCCAGCCCCUCCUGCACUCUGCUAAUGAAGGGGAGCUCACCGACUGGCCAGGCCGCUCAUUGGAACGGGCAGCCCAGUGACCAAAUGUCUCCUUGGUCUUUUAGUACCCUCCUGCCCACACUGUCUUCUGGGCCACACAGAGACAUUUACACUUUCUUCCUUUCUGGGUUUGGAAAUGGCAGCCAUACUAUCCAUGAUCUUCUCCAAACUCUAGUUCCCCCUCCCAUUUCUCCUAAGUGCUAUUCCUCAGGCCUUGCUGUGGGCUGACCUCUGCUCAUAGUCCAGGUGGCCCGACACAGCACAGUGCCCCUCCAGCCUGGGCCCUGAAUGGGGGAUGACUGCACAACAGUGGGAUUGGUGACCCUAGGAGACCAUGUGUGGGAUGCACAUGAGGUAAGAAGGACCAGGAGAGACGGGAAGAAUGGCCACCACAGCUGUCAGUAUGAGGCCAGCUUCUGACUCCCUCCCAUGCCUGUGGAUGCCCUACAGUGUCCAUUCUGGGUGGCAAGGGGCAGGAAGCAGGGAGGGGCUCCAUACUCCUGGGGCAGCCCACUGAGGACAGGCAGUCCCUGGAUCUGACACCCUUAGCCCUGACAUCUUGCUGGAAUGUCCCAGGGCUCUAAGGAACAGGUGCUCUCUGGGAUCUGCUGAAAUACCUGUCAACCUGUCACCUGGUUGGGAGGUGUCCUUGGGUGAAUCAGUGUCUGGGUGGGGCCCUCCCCGACUCCCCAGGCACAUGGGAACCCUUCCUGGUCAUGUGCUCAGCUGGGGUCCAGGCUGCUCUGGCUGGGCAGGUGUGGGGGAAGUUUAUCAGUGACUCCACUACUCCACCUUGCAUAGCUGGACUUCUGAGUCCAGUUGCUGUCUAGAGAGAGACCAGAAAUGGGGAAGGACAAUGCCUAUCUGGGGAGUACCCUGGGGGGGCUGUGAAGUCAACUUCUGAGUUUAGGUUCCUCUGCAAAGAAUCCUGGCGGCAGCUAACAAGGCAGGAGAAAGCCUUGUUGGACACAGGAAGUACAUGGCAUCCAUCUGUCAUUUUCCAGCUUUGGGAAUUGUGAGGGCUCAGGAUGUGUUCCGCCCACAGGCAGCUCCUGAUCCAGUGCCAGAGGCAAUUCCAUGCGGAACAAUCCAGAGGCCCCUUCCUUCCGGCCAUGUGAUGGAGGAUGAGAGAGUAUGGAGUGGCACCUUCUGGUGUAGGCCCACCCAACCCUGCUGUCAGUCACUGGUGGGAGCCCUGGACCCUUCUCUCUGGCUGGCGUGGCCCAGGCCUUCAGUGACUGCCCCUACCCUCCACCUAAGGUGAGAAACCAGGGACAGACAGAGUAACUGAGGCCUCAGACUUCAGUCUCAGUUUCCCCAAAACUCCAACACUUUCUUCCAUCCAGGCACGGCCAGGACUUUUGCUCCAUUAGCACAAGGCCUGUAUCUGUCUUGCUUACACCUGGCACAAGGCCCAGCCUGGAGCACUGGCUCAGGAAUCAUCUGCUAAAUGGAGUGGAAUCAUCCAUCGCCCAUUAGAUGAGGACUUGCGGGCAGCGAGGCCUUCUACCACCGCCAUUGGGGCCUCAGGAAGGGGAGGCCUCUGGACGGCACAGGACACCUUACCCGCAAGGAGCUUUCUCAGCAACACAGUGUAUGUGUUAAUAAAUGUGAAACAGGAUGAGAA